rnacentral:lncRNA from 1 species
GUUGGAGUGGAUGAGCUUUUAGAUCCCUUCCAACCAAAGGUAUAAUGGCAUUAUAUCUUCUAAUCUAUCUUUCAGAGAGUAUAGUUACAUCACAGUUUCCUAAAGCAGCCCAAAAGAAAUGUAAUGCAAGACACAUAUGCAGUUUUUGUUUUCUAGAAAACAUGACUUAAACAGUUUAGAUCAGGGGUCCACAACCCCCAGCCACGGACCAGUACUGAUAUGUGACCUGUUAAGAACUCAGCUGCAGCAGGAGAUGAAUGGCAGGAUCUGACUCCAGCUCCCUGAUACCUCACACACGUCUCAACGUGAUGAUCCAAAUGGGUGAAGUGGCUCUGGGGAGAAGCUCUAUUUAAAGAAUUACCAUUUUUUUUCCUGUCAUUUUCUGUCUUUGAGAGUAAGAAAUAUCCAUCACACAGAAAUCAUUUUGAUACCUGUGCAUGUCAAUAAUGUCUCCUCAUUAUCAGCUACCUCAACUGCACAUAUUUUGGUGUGACUGUCAAGUUUUUUGUAUUCUUUCCCAGGCUGACUCACUCAGUUUCUCGGUCCUCUCACCCCAC